GGGGAUGUUUUAAUUUGCUCGUUUACAUUAAAAUCAAAAUAGCUGGAAGAAGUCGCAGGAACUUCUGUUGGGCUCAGGCCCGACCAAAACUUGCACCUUGGAUAAAUGCCAAGAACAUUUUAGCUAAAGUUAAGAGCGCUUUCAGCGUUCCGACUUUUGCUUCCGUUGUAGCUUAAAAUAAGCCGCAACCAUCCAACUUAGUGAUUUCUGAUGGCUAAGGCGGGUGUCAUAUUAUCAGAAUAGAUAAUUGCAGAGCCUUAAUGUAAUUGUCAAAACCACCUUAUAGGCGUAGGUCUUUGGGGAUUUUUCCUUUUUCAUCUCUCUGACCGAAUCAUUAAAAGGAAUAUUCCAGUAGAAGUUUUAAUUUUGUGUAACCAGACGUGGGUGCAAGACCCACCAUCUCCACCA
rnacentral:tmRNA from 4 species